CCCCUCUCAGGGUCGCACCUGGAGAGUUUCCAGUACUCUACCAGUCUCGACACAGGAGGGAGAGUCAAGCAGAGGCAUACCCAUUCCAUUCCUAUCUUGGGCCGUGGCUAGUGAGUGGAAGACAAUCUGCUAGAAGU
rnacentral:snoRNA from 1 species